GUGCCAGCAGCCGCGGUAAUACGGAGGAUGCAAGCGUUAUCCGGAAUCAUUGGGCGUAAAGAGUCCGUAGGUGGCACUUCAAGUCUGCUUUCAAAGACCGAAGCUCAACUUCGGAAAGGGAGUGGAAACUGAAGAGCUAGAGUAUAGUAGGGGUAGAGGGAAUUCCUAGUGUAGCGGUGAAAUGCGUAGAGAUUAGGAAGAACACCAGUGGCGAAGGCGCUCUACUGGGCAUAUACUGACACUGAGGGACGAAAGCUAGGGGAGCGAAAGGGAUUAGAUACCCCUGUAGUCCUAGCGGUAAACGAUGAAUGCCAGCUGUCGGGCAGCAUGCUGUUCGGUGGCGCAGCUAACGCAUUAAGCAUUCCGCCUGGGGAGUACGGUCGCAAGAUUAAAACUUAAAUGAAUUGACGGGG
rnacentral:rRNA from 1 species